UAAAUUAUUACUGUUUUUGUUUUUAAAUAACAACAACAACAAAAUUUGAAUAAUGAAAUGAAAGGAGCAAUUUAAUUUUUUUAAUUAAAUCCAAAAUGGGGCAUAACUGAAAUUAACGUUGUUUUGAACUCCAUAUUCCUAAUGAUACCCCAAAGAAAAUAUUGUAAUCAUUAUUAUGGCUAUUUAGUUUAAAUUGUUUUGAUAUUACAAGAAGUUUUUCAUGGCAGUUGCAAGAGAAAAACUUAUACUUGCACAUGUUUGUGGUUUUUAUUUCCUUCUUUGAAAUUUCACCACGUUUGAAAAAGUGGGAAAUUGACAGCUUUAAAUCUUCUUAUUAUGUACACAUGUAUAUCAUACUAUAUUGUUGAGAAAUAAUCUGUCAUUUUAAUCCUUCAUUACCAAAUGUUGACAAAGAUGUUUUGUUAGGUAUAGUUUAGUUUGAAACUACAAUUAUGUACCUGGUAGUUUAUUGUGAUAUAAAGAACGACUGUGAUUUGUAAACAAAAUACACUACAAGUCAAGAUGGCAUCAUUAGUGAAAUUUAAUGUUUAACAGAUAUAAUUUUGUUUUCUGCAUUUAAUGAAAAAUAGUUAAAAUAGUGAGAAAUUGCUGUAAAAGGAUUGAACUAUUAUUAAACCCAUUUUUGAUGAGCG
rnacentral:misc_RNA from 1 species